rnacentral:piRNA from 1 species
UGAUACCUUUGCCCUCCAAUGGAAACACAUCA